UCCGUUCGUCUCCUUAUCUUCCAUGGAGGUAACAAUGGAAUGCAUGAAGCCGUCUAUCACGGUACACCUAUGGUGGUCAUCCCAUUGGGUUUAGAUCAUUUUGAUGUUGCUGCUAGAGUAGUUCAACGUGGUAUCGGGUUGUAUCUUGACUUCUCAAGACUGACGCAGGAACACAUGCUCAAAGCCAUCAACACCGUUUUACAUGACUCGAGUUUUAAAGCCAAUGCCGAGAGGGCUUCAGAAAUUAUGAGGGGAAGACUGGACCACCCGCUUAAUCGCUCUGUACACUGGAUCGAACACGUCCUAAAACACAAAGGAAGCUACUUACGACCUUCUAGCUCCAAACUGUACUUCUGGCAAUUAUACCUUCUUGACAUCUACAUCGCGCUGGCAAUUAUGUCCUUUAUUGCUUAUAAGUUACUUAAGUUAGUUUUAAGGUUAUCCAUACGACUUUGGAAUGAUGCUUAUAUGCGAGACCGUAUGAGGCGUUGUAAACUUAUCAGCAUCAAACACGUGAUGUUGAUCUGUGUUUUUUUCGUAAUCUUUUAUAUUUUUUUAGUACGUGUAUAACUGAUGUAUUAGAUGAUUAAAAAAAAGGAAAUUGGAUUUGUCAAAAGUACAUAUACAUGCUCUGUCUUUCCAAACACCAAGGAAAUAAUCCAUCAUUUUCUGACCUAUUAUCUCACUCUGUUAUAGACAUGCAUGGCGUCGAAAUGGAAUCCUUAACUCAAUAUACAGUGAAUCUUCCAAACCGUGAAGAAAGGGUCAGGGGUAUUAGCAGUAUGUAGAGGGCCAGUUGAUAGCAAGAGGUCGAGGAGGAACACCCCCCCUCCUGCCGAAUAUCCUGGUUACAAACCAACAUCCAGAUCUCGCUAUAGUUUGGGAACAUACAAAGUAAAUCAUGCUAAUUGAGCUUAUCGUACCUUUUCAAAGGAAUAUUGACGCCGCGCAAAGACAUAUAGGAAACACUCAUUGCAUGCCUAAAUCAUGAAUAAUCUAUCCCAAAAAUAUUUAAGAAACGGAUUCGAGUUAGUAUUACAUACGAAUCAGUCCC